GGCGAACGCUGGCGGCGUGCUUAACACAUGCAAGUCGAACGGAAAGGCCCUGCUUUUGUGGGGUGCUCGAGUGGCGAACGGGUGAGUAACACGUGAGUAACCUGCCCUUGACUUUGGGAUAACUUCAGGAAACUGGGGCUAAUACCGGAUAGGAGCUCCUGCUGCAUGUUGGGGGUUGGAAAGUUUCGGCGGUUGGGGAUGGACUCGCGGCUUAUCAGCUUGUUGGUGGGGUAGUGGCUUACCAAGGCUUUGACGGGUAGCCGGCCUGAGAGGGUGACCGGCCACAUUGGGACUGAGAUACGGCCCAGACUCCUAAGGGAGGCAGCAGUGGGGAAUAUUGCACAAUGGGCGGAAGCCUGAUGCAGCAACGCCGCGUGCGGGAUGACGGCCUUCGGGUUGUAAACCGCUUUCGCCUGUGACGAAGCGUGAGUGACGGUAAUGGGUAAAGAAGCACAGGGUAAUUACGUG
rnacentral:rRNA from 1 species